UACGGAGGGCGCGAGCGUUGUUCGGAAUCACUGGGCGUAAAGCGCGUGUAGGCGGCCGAGCAAGUCGGAUGUGAAAUCCCGAGGCUCAACCUCGGAACUGCAUUCGAAACUGCUCGGCUCGAGUCCCGGAGAGGAUGGCGGAAUUCCCGGUGUAGGGGUGAAAUCCGUAGAUAUCGGGAGGAACACCAGUGGCGAAGGCGGCCAUCUGGACGGUGACUGACGCUGAGACGCGAAAGUGUGGGGAGCAAACAGG
rnacentral:rRNA from 1 species